rnacentral:rRNA from 1 species
GUGAGGUGGAAACGGACAGAGCCGGCGUAUCUGGCCUACAUUCAGCUGCGUGUUGCGUGUGUUUGGUCGCCCAUCUCCAGAUUGGGUUGGCAGCCAUUCUGCUCGUGCUCCGCGGUGCAUUUGUGGGUGGAGUGCGCUGAGGGGCCCGGCGCAGCUGCACGAGCUCGUCCUUGAGGCCAGCCUUUCGGGGCCUGGUACCCGGGACGGGGGAGUGUUGUUUGUGCUGGGUUGUGUGGUGGCACUGGUUUCGGGCUCGUGUUGGCUCUGAGCUGGCAAUCGGUUGCGGUCGCAUGCGACUUGUGCCGGAGGUCAGUUCGGUCCUGCGCGAGCUCCCAAUUGUGUCUGCUCUCGGUGUAAAAGCUGGUCAUCUGUCCGACCCGUCUUGAAACACGGACCAAGGAGUUUAGCGUGUGCGCGAGUCAUUGGGUGUUAAAAACCCAAAGGCACAAUGAAAGUGAAUGCGUCCCUUGUGAAGCUGAUGUGUGACCCUGGGCGCUGCGGCGCUCGGGUGCAACGUGGUCCCGUUUCGACCGCAUGCGGUGGGGCGGAGACAGAGCGUGCGCGCUGAGACCCGAAAGAUGGUGAACUAUUCCUGAGCAGGAUGAAGCCAGAGGAAACUCUGGUGGAAGUCCGAAGCGGUUCUGACGUGCAAAUCGAUCG